UGGGGAAUUUUGGACAAUGGGCGAAGCCUGAUCCAGCAAUGCCGCGUGUGUGAAGAAGGCCUUCGGGUUGUAAAGCACUUUUGUCCGGAAAGAAAUCCUUGGCUCUAAUACAGUCGGGGGAUGACGGUACCGGAAGAAUAAGCACCGGCUAACUACGUGCCAGCAGCCGCGGUAAUACGUAGGGUGCAAGCGUUAAUCGGAAUUACUGGGCGUAAAGCGUGCGCAGGCGGUUUGCUAAGACCGAUGUGAAAUCCCCGGGCUCAACCUGGGAACUGCAUUGGUGACUGGCAGGCUAGAGUAUGGCAGAGGGGGGUAGAAUUCCACGUGUAGCAGUGAAAUGCGUAGAGAUGUGGAGGAAUACCGAUGGCGAAGGCAGCCCCUGAGGCAAUCUGACGCUCAUGCACGAAAGCGUGGGGAGCAAACAGGAUUAGAUACCCUGGUAGUCCACG
rnacentral:rRNA from 1 species